GAUGAACGCUGGCGGCGUGCUUAACACAUGCAAGUCGAGCGAGAGAGUUCUUCGGAACAAUCUAGCGGCGGACGGGUGAGUAACACGUGGGCAACCUGCCUCAUAGAGGGGAAUAGCCUUCCGAAAGGAAGAUUAAUACCGCAUAACAUCGUUGAAGGGCAUCCUUCGAUGAUCAAAGGAGUAAUCCGCUAUGAGAUGGGCCCGCGGCGCAUUAGCUAGUUGGUGAGGUAACGGCUCACCAAGGCGACGAUGCGUAGCCGACCUGAGAGGGUGAUCGGCCACAUUGGGACUGAGACACGGCCCAGACUCCUACGGGAGGCAGCAGUGGGGAAUAUUGCACAAUGGGGGAAACCCUGAUGCAGCAACGCCGCGUGAGUGAUGACGGCCUUCGGGUUGUAAAGCUCUGUCUUUGGGGACGAUAAUGACGGUACCCAAGGAGGAAGUCACGGCUAACUAC
rnacentral:rRNA from 1 species